AAACGGAAUAAAGAGAAAAGAAAAGUGGGUACUUUCUCAGUCUACAUGAUAUGGCCUUUUCAGGCUCUUUAAGGUUUUCUAAUUCUAUGGUGAGAUUUUUAAUUGUGAAAACAAUGGCUCUGAGUCAGUCUACAUGAUAUGGCUUUUCAGGCCCUUUAAGGUUUUCUAAUUCUAUGGUGAGAUUUUUGUGAAAACAAUGGCUCUGAGUCUGACCACAAUAAGACUCUGCUCAUGGCCAUGGCCAUCAAGGGACAUAUUUGCGACAACCUCAGCAGAAAUUUGUUGGAGUGUGAUAGAGUGUUUUAGAGAGGAAGGAAGAGAUGGGGACAAGUCUAAAGUAUUGGUGGCUAUGUUGAAGGAAACCGUGGAUUUGGUGGUUAUAUUUCAAAUUCUGAAUGACGAUUUGGGGAAAAUGAUCCUAUAGCACUUUCGUGAGAUGAAGUGACUGAAUGAUAUAAUGGAAGGCUCUCAUAUAAAAAUACAAAUUACAAACUCUAGAUUUUGAUUUGAGCAUCUGCAUAACAAAAUACUCUUUGAAGUAAUUUUGUUACUAAUAAAUUUUUUUUCUCAUUUUAAAUGUUACAGAGAAAUUCAGCUUAUAAUUUAAGCAAAGCUAUGGUAGAAUUACUAUGAAUGUUCUUUGAUAGUGUUGCAUGUGCAUCAAAUGAUAAACUGGUAAUACAUAAAACUAGAGAGUUUUGCCUUUGUCUGUAUUGUAAUAGAACAGCAGUAGAAGGGCAAAACGAUAGGUUGAUAUCAAUUGUGUUGGGUUGGAGAGAGAGUUACAAGGGACCUUUUUUUUUUUUUGUCUUUUUCAUUUUUUUUCCUAUUGUUAUCUAUUGCCAGAUUUUCCUCCAGUUUUUCUUCCAUUAACACCGAGUUGUGAGUACUGAUAGAGAAACACGUAUGGAAGAAGAACAGAGAGGAAAAAGAGAGGAGAAGAAGAAGAAAAGAGGGAUACUGGCAGCAGAAAUUUCAGGGAUUGUUGUCUGUUCCAUCACAAAUUGCAGAGAAACGGGCAUGGGAGGGAUCCUUCUCACAAAUCGCAGACACUCAGGAUUUUAUGUUGAACUUGGAGGAAAGAGAGGAGAGAGAAGGGAAAAGGAAGGUUGCAAGUGACAAUGAAUUGAAUUUCAGGUACUUAAAUGGAUGCAUUUGAAGUGUUUUUGAAAAUGUCCUAAUGGACUUUUGGGUGUGUUUUUGUUAUUUGUUUGUUAGCUUAAUUAAUGGUAUAAGCUAGAUGAAAGAUGUGGCCAUAAGACAUGUCUGUUUUAGUAUGAAGUGUUUGUCUUGAGGGCAGAACCUUAAGUAACUCAACCUGAGUGUACAAAGAUGGAUGGCCACAUAUUGUUUAGGUAUAAGGAACGCAGCCUGAGUGCAUAUGUACAACUAUCUUUUAGAUUGCUUUUGUUUCUUUUCUGAUUUUGUAUUAUGUAUAAUGGUGCUAUUAAUGUUUUCUCUAUAUCUUUAUUUUGUUAGACAGGAAGCAGAAAGAUUUGUACAUAUAUACCAAGGGUCCAGCGAAUGCCUUUGUAUUAGUUGUAGAAAAAACUUAUCCAACGAUGAACAAGGCUUAACCCCCUGUGCUUUUGAGAGAUUCUGUGCCCACAUAAAAAAAUUAUCCAAUUAUCAAGCUGAUUCUCUUAUUUGUAGCUCAUUGAAGCUUAUAUCAUAUCAUUGUACUAUAGUCCUAAUUUGUGCUUUUGUACUUCCUUAAUAGGAGCAAAUCAAGCAUGCUGAGGAAAAAUUUAACUAUCUGUGCUGCUUUUCUUUUCUCAAGGUUGAGUGAUUAUAAACUAUUUCUUUUGGUAGACUUGACCUACUUAUUCUAGUAAGGAUAUGCCAUUUGACUUUUCAGUUUAUUGCAGAUUCACUAUGAACAAUCACCAAUUUGUUGGAUCCAAAUCAGAGAAAUCCUUAGUUAAAAGGAACUUAUAAAUAUUUCAUCUUUCAUUUUUAUGCUAGAAACCUAGUCUUCUUAGGUCUUUUCUUUCGUUCUCCCAGAUAAGAUAAGAUGUCAAAUCUGCCAUCUAUGUUGAAAAUCUCAUAGAAGAGUAUAUGUGUACAAUGAAGGAUGUGACUCGAGGCUUGAUAAAGGCUUUCUAUUUUGUUAUGCUUCUUCUACUGUAAGCAUAGCAUGGAUACAUAUUGUGUUUUGGCAUUUGUGACUUUACUGAGUGAGUAUUCACAGAGAACUGUUUUUAGUAGUGUUUUUUUCUUUUUUUUUGAGAAUUAUUUUUAGUAGUGUGUUUAGAGACCUAUUAUUAACCUUUUGUUGAGAAUGAAACAAUUGAAUCAUCAUACAAACUUGCAUUGCAAAUAAAAUCAAAUAAUUUCAUUUUGUUAGGGUUUUUUUUUUUUUUUUUUUUGGGAUGAAUUUGGAUACUGAUACUUGAUUCUAAGCUAGUAGUUCUUAUUAGAUAAAUCAAGUUCAUUUUAGUGGAAAACAUCUUAAAGGGUUGUCACUGUGUGGCUAGCUUACUAAGGCCUGGUGAAUCCUUAGGUGCUGAGACAAAUUUCUUGGCCUGAUUACUAUGAACUCUUUUUUUGUUUUGGUUUUAUGAAAUAUUUGGAUUUAUGUUUGUUUUCUUUAUUGAAAUGCAUUAUUCAUCCAAAAAAAAAAGUUACACCCAAUAAGAGAGGAUGGAUAUUAGGUGCUUAUUUAGCAUAUUUCCUAGUCGUGGGCUUUGUUUUCUAUCAUAUUAUUCUUCCUCCAUCCCUCAUGUAGUUGAUGAUGAAGAGUAUUGAGGAGUCUCUAAUCUUUAUAAAACAAAAUGAGGGGUCAAUAAUAAAGAAUAUAGUGAGUUUUACUUAGAAAAAUAUUUAAUUAAUUCUUUAGUUGGAAUAUACCAUAAGGGCUGAUUAAUCAAAUUUAUAAAGGGCCUAUUGAGAUCCUUGGGUGAGUCUAUUGUCAUCUUACUAUAUAUAAAAGGAGAGUUUUGCCUCUGUUGUGUGAUAAAAUGGCAGUAGAAGGGACAAACGAUAGGUUGAAAUCAAUUGUUUUUGUCUGGAGAGAGAGUUUGGGCUUUUUUGUCUCUUUUAAUUUUUUCCUAUUGUUAUCUAUUGUCAGAUUUUCCUCCGAAUAUUUCUCCCAACCACCACUGACGGUGACACUGAGUAGUGAGCACUAAGGCAUUAGAUCUUUCAUGUUUUUCAAUUAAUUACAAAAUGAUUUGUUGAUUGAUGGAUUACAAUAUGACUCCAUGCUUAGGAACUUGGAGGAAAGAGAAGAGGGAGAAAGGGGAAGGUAGGUUGCAAAUGACCAUGAAUUGAAUUUCAGGUACUUUAAUGGAUGCAUUUGAAGUGUUUGUGAAAAUGUCCGAAUGGACUUUUGGGUGUGUUUUUGUUAUUUGUUGGUUAGCUUAAAGUGUAUAAGCUUGAGGAAAGAUGUGGCCAUAAAACAUGAUGUCAGUUUUCAUAUCAAGUGUUUGUAUUAAGGGUCAGAGCCACUCAACCUGAGUGUAUAAAGAUGGAUGGCCACAUAUUGUUAUGUAUUAGGAACUCAGCCCGAAUGCAUAUGUACAGCUAUCUUUUAGAUUUCUUUUGUUUCUUUUCUGAUUUUGUAUCAUGUAUAAUGAUGCUAUUAAUGUUUCUCUAUAUCUUUAUUUUGUUAGACAGGAAGUGGAAAGACUUAUACGGUUAUACCAAAGGUCCAGCCAAUGCCUUUGGAGUAGUUGUAGAACAAAACUUAUCAAAUGAUCAAGAAGGCUUAACCCCGUGUUUUUGAGAGAUUCUUUGCCCACUUAAAAAACUUAUCCAGUUGUCAAGCUGAUUCUCUUUCUUGUAGCUCAUUGAAGCUUAUAUCAUAUUAUUGUAGUCCUAAUUUGUGCUUUUGCAUUUCCUUAAUACGAGCAAAUCAAGCAUGCGAAGGAACAAUUUAACUAUCUGUGUCACUGUUCUUUUCUCAAGGUUGAGUGACUAUAAAUUGUUUCUUUUGGUAGACUCGACCUAGUUAUUCUUGUAAGGAUAUGCUAUUUGAUUUUUUAGUUUA